GAAUGCUGACAUAAGUAACGAUAAUGCGGGUGAAAAACCCGCACGCCGGAAGACCAAGGGUUCCUGUCCAACGUUAAUCGGGGCAGGGUGAGUCGACCCCUAAGGCGAGGCUGAAAAGCGUAGUCGAUGGGAAACAGGUUAAUAUUCCUGUACUUGGUGUUACUGCGAAGGGGGGACGGAGAAGGCUAGGCUAGCCGGGCGACGGUUGUCCCGGUUUAAGCAUGUAGGCGGAGUGACCAGGUAAAUCCGGUUGCUUAUCAACGCUGAGGUGUGAUGACGAGUCACUACGGUGAUGAAGUAGUUGAUGCCAUGCUUCCAGGAAAAGCCUCUAAGCAUCAGGUAACAUGAAAUCGUACCCCAAACCGACACAGGUGGUCAGGUAGAGAAUACUCAGGCGCUUGAGAGAACUCGGGUGAAGGAACUAGGCAAAAUGGUGCCGUAACUUCGGGAGAAGGCACGCUGGCAUUAGGUAAAGGGACUUGCUCCCGGCGCCGAAGCCAGUCGCAGAUACCAGCUGGCUGCAACUGUUUAAUAAAAACACAGCACUGUGCAAACACGAAAGUGGACGUAUACGGUGUGACGCCUGCCCGGUGCUGGAAGGUUAAUUGAUGGGGUCAGCCGCAAGGCGAAGCUCUUGAUCGAAGCCCCAGUAAACGGCGGCCGUAACUAUAACGGUCCUAAGGUAGCGAAAUUCCUUGUCGGGUAAGUUCCGACCUGCACGAAUGGCGUAAUGAUGGCCAGGCUGUCUCCACCCGAGACUCAGUGAAAUUGAACUCGCUGUGAAGAUGCAGUGUACCCGCGGCAAGACGGAAAGACCCCGUGAACCUUUACUAUAGCUUGACACUGAACAUUGAGCCUUGAUGUGUAGGAUAGGUGGGAGGCAUAGAAGUGUGGAC
rnacentral:rRNA from 1 species